UACGUAGGGUGCGAGCGUUAAUCGGAAUUACUGGGCGUAAAGCGUGCGCAGGCGGUUUUGUAAGACAGGCGUGAAAUCCCCCGAGCUCAACUUGGGAAUUGCGCUUGUGACUGCAAGGCUAGAGUGUGUCAGAGGGGGGGUAGAAUUCCACGUGUAGCAGUGAAAAUGCGUAGAGAUGUGGAGGAACACCGAUGGCGAAGGCAGCCUCCUGGGCCAACACUGACGCUCAUGCACGAAAGCGUGGGUAGCAAACAGG
rnacentral:rRNA from 1 species